rnacentral:rRNA from 1 species
UGGGGAAUAUUGGACAAUGGGCGAAAGCCUGAUCCAGCAAUGCCGCGUGAGUGAUGAAGGCCUUAGGGUUGUAAAGCUCUUUUUACCCGGGAUGAUAAUGACAGUACCGGGAGAAUAAGCCCCGGCUAACUCCGUGCCAGCAGCCGCGGUAAUACGGAGGGGGCUAGCGUUGUUCGGAAUUACUGGGCGUAAAGCGCACGUAGGCGGCUUUGUAAGUUAGAGGUGAAAGCCCAGGGCUCAACCCUGGAAUUGCCUUUAAGACUGCAUCGCUUGAACAUCGGAGAGGUAAGUGGAAUUCCGAGUGUAGAGGUGAAAUUCGUAGAUAUUCGGGAGAACACCAGUGGCGAAGGCGACUUACUGGGACGAUUGUUGACGCUGAGGUGCGAAAGCGUGGGGAGCGAAACAGGAUUAGAUACCCUGGUAGUCCACGCCGUAACGAUGAUGACUAGCUG